UGUGCCGCCAGUCUCCUGCAGCGUCUGUUUCGUCCUUACAGGCUCUCUGAGCCCGGACCCGCGCGUGUGCCCCGCGAGUCAUGACGUUGAAGGCUGUGUGUGUGUUGAAGGGCGACGGCCUGGUGCAGGGCACCAUCCACUUCGAGCAGCAGGAAAAUGGACCAGUGGUGAUAAAGGGACGCAUUACAGGAUUGACUGAAGGCCAGCACGGAUUCCAUGUGCAUCAGUUUGGAGAUAACACACAAGGCUGUACCAGUGCAGGUCCUCACUUUAAUCCUCACUCCGAAAAACAUGGUGGGCCAAAGGAUCAAGAGAGGCACAUUGGAGACCUGGGCAAUGUGACUGCUGGCAAAGAUGGUGAGGCCAUUGUGCCUAUUGAAGAUUCUGUGAUCUCGCUCUCAGGGGAACAUUCCAUCAUUGGCCGCACAAUAGUGGUCCAUGAAAAACCAGAUGACUUGGGCAAAGGUGGAAAUGAAGAAAGUACAAAGACGGGAAAUGCUGGAAGUCGGUUGGCUUGUGCUGUAAUUGGGAUUGCCCAAUAAACAUUCCCAAGGAUGUGGUCUGAGUCCUAGUAACUCAUCUGUUAUCCUGCUAGUUGUAGACUGUAACUUGAUAAACAUUAAACACCGUAAUCUUAAAA